CCUACGGGAGGCAGCAGUAGGGAAUAUUGCUCAAUGGGGGAAACCCUGAAGCAGCAACGCCGCGUGGAGGAUGAAGGUUUUCGGAUUGUAAACUCCUUUUGUUAGAGAAGAUAAUGACGGUAUCUAACGAAUAAGCACCGGCUAACUCCGUGCAAGCAGCCGCGGUAAUACGGAGGGUGCAAGCGUUACUCGGAAUCACUGGGCGUAAGGAGCGCGUAGGCGGGUUAGAAGGUCAGAUGUGAAAUCCUAUGGCUUAACCAUAGAACUGCAUUUGAAACUGUUAUUCUAGAGUAUGGGAGAGGAAGGUGGAAUUCUUGGUGUAGGGGUAGAAUCCGUAGAGAUCAAGAGGAAUACUCAUUGCGAAGGCGACCUGCUAGAACAUAACUGACGCUGAUGCGCGAAAGCGUGGGGAGCAAACAGGAUUAGAUACCCGGGUAGUC
rnacentral:rRNA from 1 species